rnacentral:rRNA from 1 species
CAAUAGCGUAUAUUAAAGUUGUUGCGGUAAAAAAGCUCGUAGUUGGAUUUCUGUUGAGAGCGACCGGUCCAUACCAUGUAUGCGUAUCUGGCUUGCUCUCGGCAUCCUCUCGAUAGACGUUACUGCGCUUGAUUGCGUGGUGCGGAUCUCGGGACUUUUACUUUGAGGAAAUUAGAGUGUUCACGGCAGGCUUUCGCCAGAAUACAUUAGCAUGGAAUAAUACUAUAGGAUCUUGGUUCUAUUUUGUUGGUUUCUAGAAUUGAGAUAAUGAUUAAUAGGGACAAUUGGGGGCAUUCGUAUCAACACGUCAGAGGUGGAAUUCUUGGAUAGUGUUGCGACGAACUACUGCGAAAGCAUUUGCCAAGGAUGUUUUCAUUGA